UACGUAGGGUGCGAGCGUUGUCCGGAAUUACUGGGCGUAAAGAGCUUGUAGGCGGUUCGUCGCGUCGAUUGUGAAAACUUGGGGCUCAACUCCAAGCUUGCAGUCGAUACGGGCGAACUAGAGUACUUCAGGGGAGACUGGAAUUCCUGGUGUAGCGGUGAAAUGCGCAGAUAUCAGGAGGAACACCGGUGGCGAAGGCGGGUCUCUGGGAAGUAACUGACGCUGAUGCACGAAAGCUGGGGGAGCAAACAGG
rnacentral:rRNA from 1 species